UACGUAGGGGGCUAGCGUUGUCCGGAAUCAUUGGGCGUAAAGAGCGUGUAGGCGGUCCGGUAAGUCCGCUGUGAAAGUCGGGGGCUCAACCCUCGGAUGCCGGUGGAUACUGUCGGGCUUGAGUACGGAAGAGGCGAGUGGAAUUCCUGGUGUAGCGGUGAAAUGCGCAGAUAUCAGGAGGAACACCAAUUGCGAAGGCAGCUCGGUGGGACGUUACUGACGCUGAGACGCGAAAGCGUGGGGAGCAAACAGG
rnacentral:rRNA from 1 species